rnacentral:lncRNA from 1 species
GCUUACCAAACUCAAGUCUGUCCUCAAGAAGCUCAACUCCUUUGGCCACCAUAACAAGCACCAGGCCAUCAACUCAACUCCCUCGUUCGCCUCGUCCACUUCAAACAAUUCCGACACCGACGACUCUUCCUCCUCCUCCUCCGCCGACCUCCGCCCCGUCUACGUCGGCCAGUCGCGGCGGCGGUACCUCGUGAACUCUGCUGUCGUCCGCCAUCCUCUGUUCCGUGAGCUCGCCGCACGUUCUGGUAACAGUGCGCCCUUGUCCGAGGACGGCGACUCCUCGUCCCUCAACAUCGCGUGCGAGGUGGUCUUGUUCGAGCACUUGCUGUGGAUGCUCGAGAACGCGGAGUCGAGGCCCGAGCCACUGGAUGAGUUGGUCGAGUUCUAUGCUUACUGAGGGAGAUGAAGAUGCAUGGUGAUGAAAAGGAUCAUAUUGUAAUUAUGUUCUCUUUUCUAAUGUUCAUUACGAUGAUAAACGCCUCCCAUUUAUGUGUUUUCCCCUUCUUUCUAUCUCUAUCUUUUGUUAAUAGAAAAUGUGCUUCAAUGCCGUCUUUUUAUUAUAAUUUAUAUAAAUACUAGUGUCGAGACAUACGCUAUGUAUAUACGUGAUUACGGAUGAGUUACAUAUGAAGAGAAGAUUCGAUUUUCAAAGAAAUCAAGUGAUUAUUUGAUGGAGUGAAUGUGUAAUGGACGAUUGUUAAAAGUACUCUAGUGUUUAAUUUAACACUCUUUUCGGCAUGUGAGAUUGUGUGAUCGUAGACCAAAACAAGGUCUCCAGAAAUUGACAUGAUACUUAAGUUUGAGCUUGACCGAAAUUCCACUAAUGCUAUUUCUUAUCUAGUCCACGACAUUAUAAGGAUAUUUCAUUAACCGAAGAUUUACGUACUUAAGGGGGGCUUCCUCCGUAAGAGAAAAACAUGCUAAGCAGAGGAAAGAGACAUACCUGUAAUUUUAUCCAUUAAGUUUUGUUUUUCAAUAGUUGAUUAACCCAUGAUCUUGAAAUUGAACUUAUGCCGUGAAACCGAUCUGCACUAUUUUUUCAUCGAUCAUCGAUCGGACUUACCUUUGACAAAUACAAAUUAGAUUUAGAUGUGUGUUGUGAAUUGAACAAAGAUCCAAUUAGUAAAGUUUACAAGAUCAAGCCGAUCGCAUUUCGAGAAUUUAUAAAAGUCUGUAUUGAAUUGAAGUCAAAACUUCCACAUGAUUUAUGACCCAUGAUUCCUUUUGUUGGUCGCGUUACUCAUAAAUCAUGUCCAUGCAACAUUUCAGCCCUGCAACUUAACCCUAACCCGGUGGGGAACACAAAGGGCUUGUUCGAACGUUGGCCGUCGACGGAGCCGACCCGACCGAGAACGAGAGGACAGCCACCUUUCGCGGCAAUUCUUCAUUUGAGGACCGCCGGCCGCUGAUCGUCCGCCACGUCAGCAUUGUCUUUUUCUGGGACCAGCAGCUGCUCCAAAAGAAAAAGCAGCCCACGUCAGCUCGGGGAGAGGGAGAGGGAGACCGAGACCGGCCAGCGUGGCAGCAGAUCACGAGAUCGGAUCCUUUCGGCCUAUGGUGGGCCACCCCUCUUUCGCCAGGCCCAUGUUAGUCUGCGGAAUUUAGUCAUUGUAUAAUCCGAUUUUUUGGACUUUCUUGCCAAUAAAUCAGACAUGCUCCCUCGUGGGAGAGCAGUGUCAUGUACCAUGUUCCCUCAGGUGAUGGUCACUUAACGUUCAUGAAUCCUAAAAUUCAUAAUUUGCAAAUCAAUCAAUCAUGUGAUGGUUGUUGAAUAAGGCUACAAAGAAUUUUCGGCUCGUUGCUAUGUGUAUUUUUGCAAAGUUGCGAUCGCUAGAAUCUCAAUGAUUUUAAGAAGUGAUUGAAAUAAUAGUCGAUGACCAAUUCAACUACCAAAUUUGCCUCGAAAUGUCAAGCACUUUGUAGGAUCUGAAUGAUGGGGGUAGACAAAUGGUUGGAAACAUCAAGAAAUUUGCAUCAAAGUUUAUUGAAUCACGACGCGCGGCUUAUGUUCUUGAUGCCGUUCUUCCUUGAUACCGAAAUUAAAACAUAAACUCCUUAAAGGAGAUGUUUGAAGUGCGUAUAAAAAGUAAAAACUUGGAAAGUAUGGUUGGAAAGCGUUUUCAAAACAAAGACGAGCAUUAUUGCUGGGAAACUUAUCUAAUCUAAUUCGAUUCAAGUUCAAACUUUAGAUAAAAUCUAAUCUAAAUUGAUAUAUUAUAAAUGAUCUUCCUAUCUAUAGAAUCUAAUGUCUUAUUUGCUUGUAAAUGAUGUUUGUGUGUCAUUUGUCUUGUGUAUUGUCUGUGCCUUUAGUCCUUGUUUUCUAUCGAACCAUUUAUUUUUUGUGAUUUGCAACUGUUUUGACUCCCUAAUUUCGGUUAUCCCUUGAUCAAUGGUUUUUCCAUAGUCAAUCUUUAACUUCUGUACAUACUUCAAAUCAAUCGCUUAAGUAGGUCAAAUAUUAAGGACAUCGUGAAGACAAUGUAGAGUCAGAUCUCUAUUUAAUGGCAGUCCAAGCUUAGGCGAAGAAUUUUCAUGCCGUAGCUUCACCUCCGCUCAGUGUUUAGAACAUGUCAAUGCUGUCUUCCCCGUCGACUCUCAUGCCGGCGACAUGCUUCAUCUCGCAAGGAAGAGAAGCCCCAAGGGCCUUAAUUACACAAGUCCUCGCUUCACCCAAGCCAUAUAUUUCUCUAAUCUUUUCAUAAUUUCGAUGAGGCGAAAUUGAAGGAGUUGGUCUUUUUGAAUCAUUGGAGGAAGCUCAUCGAGUAAGAAAUGAAGGUUUUAGCUUAGGCUGAUUUAACCGAUCAUGCUCCAGCAAUCUUCUGGAAAUCUGAGUUAGGAUUCUCUUUUCUCUUAUGCUGUUGAUUUAUUGUUUUUUUUUUCCAAUUUAAGAUAGUAUGAUGUGUCUCCGCUCUUUUUUUUUCCCCUUCUAAGUUAAUUGAGAAAGAGGUUUAAUUUAGAUUGCAGGCUAUUGAAGAAAUGUAUGACAUUCAUUUCUACUGCGUACUUACACGUAUAAUUAUUGUAGGAGGGUUGGUUUCCUAUGUUGAAGUUCUUCUUUAGGACAAGAUCAUUGAAAACUAAUUAUUGUUGUUGAUCGUCUGAAAAGAUCUUUUGGACGGUUCCCAACGAACCUUGUAAUGAUAAUUGAAGAACAAUAUAUCUGUCAUACAUCGUGUUAGGAUGUUCAUAUUAUGCUAAAGAAAGAGUAAGAAGAAUUGGAUGAAUCUCUAGACUAUGGACAAGAUUGAAAAUAAAAUGAAUGUGAGUGUGAAUGAAAUCAUAUUGAAAGCCAUAAAAGGCUAGAAGCAUAAAUAUAGAAAAGUAAAGUGGAACUCCUAGGGGAGUUCGCCGCAAGUCGUACAUGUGGUGCUUCUAAGGAGCAACGCAUGUUCCCCAUUUAAUUUCAUAAUUUUUAUUAAAUGGAGUUUCUCCUAUACACUAAUUAUGAAAAUAUAAUAUUAAAUUAAAAUCCGACAUUUUUGAAAGAAUGUUCUUCUUAUGACCUAUAUAAAGUGAUGCUUUUUAAUUUGGUCAUGACAAUAUAUAUAGACUGUUUCGCUUUUAAAUUUGGGCCUUCCAUUUUAUCUUCCUUCAUUUAUUCUUUUGAAUUGUAAAUGAUAUUAAGUUCACAGUCAUAUUAAGUUUUUGAGUUUUUCGAGUAAAAUAUGCUAAACCAAUAAAAUUACCUACUGCUAAAUUUUCUUGCAAGCUUUGACAUAUGUUUCAACACUCCUAGAUUUGCAUCCAAACUUUUUUGAAUUGUAUUAUAAAUUUAUAUGAACUUAUUGUCGUUGAUAUAUUUGGUAAAUUGUAUAUAUAGCAAGAAUAAGUAAAAGGCAAAAAAAAAAUAGCAAAAUGAAAAGAAAGGGCAAAGAAAAGAGAGAGAGAGAGAGAGAGAGCGAAAAGGGGUAGUUGAAAAGAAAAAGAAAAAGGAGGGGAGGGGACAGUUCUGGAGGACUAUUAUACAGUAAAGAUAAUCCUAAAGGAAGAGAAAAACCUGACUGACUGAGAAUCCCUAAUCUGUGCACAAGAAUGAUGAAAAGAGCGUGAAUGAGAAUGCAAACUCGAAUGAAAUCGAAUGGACAACCUCAAAGAAUAAAGCAAAUCACUAGAAAAUGUGAACGAUGAUGAGGGAAAAUCCGGGUAACAGGCCCAAAGGAGAACCCAACCCAUUUCUAGGAAAGCAGGCCCUUUCGAGUCCGAGAAUACACCCCCCCCCCCUCUCUUCUCGUCCCCUGCCUUUGUAACAAGCCUUGUUGUUGGUCCAAUCUCUACAGGCCUUAGCAGGAGCGGGCUCGCCAGAUGCGCAUGCGAACUCGAGCCAGAGUAAAAUCAAAUCGAAAGUUGCGAAAGACAAAUUGCUAGAAAGCUGAGGGAUGAUCGCUCGUUGAUUUGAUGUGCCGUGGGAACAUUUUCACCUUCGGUUAAUAAGAGGAUAGCAAAUCUGCAGUGUUGUGACCCGGAUGAAGAGAGCUGCCCUUCCCCUGAACCAUCAAAAUGCAGAGUAAAAGUAACGUUACCAAAGAAAUCGAAGCAUGUUCCCGCUUAUCAGGAAACGAGACAAAACCAAAUCCUCUGGAAAGCCUGGUCUUUUGAUCCCACAUGGCCCUUGCAUCGCUCUGCAAAAAGUCAAGUAACUUCAAUAUGCAUACAAUACGACAUUUUUUCGCUCAUAUAUGGCGUUAAGGGAUAUCUUCUAAUUCAAAUUCACCAAAAAAUUGUAUGAUGCAUCUAUAACCUUAGGGAUAAUGUGUAUGCAAUAUAGUUUAUAGGCUUUUGGUGCAUAUUCAACUUAAUCUUUGAACUAUUUGAAAAUGUUCAGUAUUGUCCUUCUAUUAAUUCAAGUUCAAUGAGCAUAUUUACAAAAUUUAAGGAUAAGUUAAAAAUGUAUCAAAAUUUCAAAAAUCAUAUUAAAUAAAUUAAAAAUUUAUGAACUACAUGUGGUACAUUGAGCAAAAGUUAAUGGGCUGUUUGUGUUAUUUUUUCAAUCAUCAUACGAAUAUAUUAAAGUGCCCCCAUUGAAACGGGAUAUUUCCUAUGUGCGUAAGUCCUUGUGAACGCAGGAAAUGACCUGACAAGAAUGACAUCAUCAAUGAUGAUGUCAUUCUGAGAAUGACCCUGCCUCUACAAGGACCCUCGUGUGCGCACGACAAGGGUCCUGUCAUUCUCUGCGUCUACAGGGACACAUGCUAUGGACAUACCUAGUGGACUUACAAAAGCCUUAGAUUGAGAGCCCCAGUGGCAAGGGCGGCAGAUCUUCUAUCAAAUUAGGGUACAAAACCAUAUUAUCACCUCAAAAGUACAGCAAUUAAACCAAAAAUAAUUAGGAGCCACUAACAACAUAUCGCACCGUGAAAAGCUCCGUGAAUGAAUAAAAACACAAGCUAAGCAUGGGCAAUGAGCUAUGCUACAUAUCCCAGACAAUUUUCCACCAAAUCAUCUAGUACAACCAGUAUAGGUGGAAAGCGCAUGUGUGGUGUGAGGACCUUAAAAUGGCUAUGACAAGAGCCGAAGAAAAAGCACACACCCUAGCAGCAAACGUAAGCAAAACUUUUAAUUUUUUAUUCUUAAAAAAAUCAAAUUUUUAAUUAAAAGUUUAAGGACGAUAUUGCAUAUUGAACAAAGAUUUAUGGAUCAUCUAUGUAAACAUCCAUUUUAAUUUCUGAAUUUCUCUUUUUUAUUUCCUCUCGCUUCUUUUUAAUUACUUUCUAUUUUUCUUUCUUUAUUUUCGAGCAUUGGUAGGACUACUUGUUCACCGAUAUAUAAAAUUAAUACUUAGUGCAUGCGUAGUUAGCAAGGUUUGAAAAAUGUGGCCACUCUAGAGAAGAUGGAUAAUUCCAAGGAUUUGACUUUUAUAUGCCCUCUCUCUUUAGAUUUUCCAAAAUUCCUUUAGUAGUGGAACUUGGGUUUUGCUUUUAAAACACGAAGCGUUUCAUGAGAUUGUGCAAGUGAUGCAUAACCUAAAAUCUUUGUUUCCGUGAAUAGAUCUUAUUAGGGGUGAGCAUCAGUCCAGGAUCAACCCUAGACCGACCCUGGAAUGACCCAAUUGACCCUGGACCGACCCAAUCCUGCCAAUCCUAAUCCGGUUCCCAGAGAGAUUGGGUUGGUUAUUGGUUCUAAAAUUCCUAGACCAGCAUUGUGCGGGUCAGUUCUCGAUCUUGAGAGUUCCGGGUUGGUCCGAGCCAGACCAACCCUGACUAUAUAUAUAAUAUAUUAUUUAUAAUUUUUUAUAUAGAAAAAACUUUAAAAUAAAUAGCGUCAACAACAUUAAAUAGCUCAUUAUUGAGGAGUUCAAGUAAUUUUACAUUAUUAUUAUUUAAUAACUUAGAUUUUUAAUGUCUUUUAUAGUGUCAAUAGUCAUAAUUUACAAAUGAGAAAAAUAUUUUUGUGAGGAGUCCUCAUAGCGUCCAAAAGGCAUAAAUAGCUCCUUAUAGCAUCCUCCUAUAGUAUUCGUUUUCUUCUGUCUUAUUUUUGUCAUCUUAGUCUUCAAUUUACCAAAAUCGAAAGAAACAACUUCUCCACUCACCACUCAACACUCGCCUUGCUUGUUUUGGGUCAUUCGUGCCUCUCGCCGCUCGAUGCUCGAUUGGCUUGUUGCUCCCCGCUUGACAUUCGAUGCUCAUUCUGUUCGACACUCACCCCACUUGACCCUCACCGCUUGCAUUUCUUAGCUGACCUCGCUCAUCAUCGAACCCUUGGGUCGGUAUGGUCCUUGGUUGCCCUUUCAAGGAGUACAAAAAAUGAAAUAAAAAAUAAUUGGUUGAUCCUGGGUUGACCUGAAAAUCGGACCAAACCCAUUGGGUCAAAUCGGUCCUCAAUCGCUUUUUUAAGGAGUACAAAAAAUGAAAUAAUAAUUAUCGUUUGAUCCCGGGUUGAUCCUGGAACCGGACCGAACCCAUUGGGUCAAUCCGGUCCUUGGUCCCAAGCUUAAUAGGGUCGGUCCUCGAUCCUAAAAAUUGAGGACCGGCACUGUGUGGGUUGGUCCUACGGUUAGGGGUGGACCGACCCAACCUGGAUUAUGCUCACCCCUAGAUCUACCAAAGAAAAAAAUCUAUACAUAUGAUGCGUUUGGUAGAGUAUUGAAUGAAUGAUUUUGCAUCUAGACCAAGUUCUUUGACUUGAUGUGCUUUCGAAAAAAGUAUACAAAAUUUGGAUAAUUGUCUUUUGGUAUAUUUUCGAAAAGCAGCUUUAUAAUGAAGUAAAAUUCAAAAAUAAAAAGGAGAACAAGAGAGAGUAAGGGUUACUAGAUCCAAUCGGCAUCGACCGGAGGCCGGCGAAUGACGUGACAUAAGGAUUGGCAUUUUGCGUGUGUCAACGGUGGCUGCCACAAAAUUAGGUGAGAAAAGGUAGGGAGAAUUACCAAAAAAGUCAUAAACCCAAUUAAGUCCUAAACCUUUUAUUUUGACCAAUUUAGUCCUAAAACUUUUAUAAUUGUGCCAAUUCAGUCCAUUCGAAAAAAAUUGGCCAGCCGGCGCUGACGUGGACGUCGGCAGGGGACAGUCGAUCGGUGAGGCAAUUUUUAAAUGUUUUUUUCAAAAUUUUUAAUAUUCUUUUAAUUUUUUAAUUCUUUUUUUCUUUUUUCACCUUCUUCUUCCUCUGGCCAGCCGACGCCGGCCAGAGGCGAGGGCCGGCGAGGUCAGCCUCGCCGGCCACUAGCGAGGCUCGCCCUCAUUGGUUGGAGGCGAGGGCCGGUGAGGGCGAGGCCUUGCCAGAUCUGGCGAGCUUGGCCCUCGCCAAGGCUGGGCGAGACUGCCGUCACCAAGGGUUGUGGCGGAGGCGGGGAGGGAGAGGAUGAGGAGGAGGAGGAGGAGGCGGCGGAGCGGCUGUGGAGAUGCAAAGAGGGGCGCUGUGGCUGUGGCGGCGGUGGCGGGGAGAACGAGGUGGGGGCUUUGCUCCAACGCUAGAGAAACCCGACAUCCCUGUCGUUGUCGUCGUCGUCGCCGUCGUUGCCGUCGUCCCUGCACUCGCACACAGAAGGUGGUGGACGCUGGCUUCUUCGCCAAAGCCAUCGGAGAAGUGGAUUUGAACAAAUCCCAGCCCUGGGAACUGCCUUGUAAGCAAUCACGAAAUCAACCCAUUUCGCCCAUCUCUGUUCGCCUCCGAUUUGUUCUGUAAUUAGAUUAACAUGCGUGAUUGCUUUCGUUUGAGCAUAGGGAAGGCCACAAUCGGGGAGAAGGAGUGGUAUUUCUGUUCUCUGUGUUGCAGAACGAGUGGGUCAUUCGCAGGGUCUUCCAGAAGAGCUCUGGUGGGAAGAAAACCCACAUCUCGGGCCUCGUGACGGCGGGGUCUCUCGAGAACGAAAUGAGCUCCGGCUUGCUGCCGUUGACGAAUCCUUCUCAGAAGGUGAAAAAAGAAAAAAGAAAAAAGAAAAAAGAAAAAAAGAAUUUAAAAAAUAUUAAAAAUUCGAAAAAAACAUUAAAAAAUAUUAAAAAAUUGCCUCACCGGCCGGCUGUCCCCCACUGGCGUCCACGUCAGCGCUGGCUAAUCUUGGUCGGAUGAACUGAAUCGGCACAAUUAUAAAAGGUUUAUGACUAAAUUGGCAAAAAAAAAGUUUAGAAUUGAAUUGACACAAUUAUAAUAGGUUUAUGAUUUUUUUGGUAAUUCUCUCGAAAAGGUAUAUCUAGAUGAAAGUUAAAGACCCACUUUUUUUUUUGGGGUGAAAAAAACCCACGGUUUAUGAGUAAAAAUGUCUUAUCGUUUCUCUAGAUAGCUUAUACGCGUCCAUGCCGCGUUGCUAUAUUUUCAACGUUAUGCGUGAGUUGGUAAACUGUGCUCUUAUCUCCUGCUUGUUAUUCAAUGAAUCGAUUCCGAUUGGUGCUAAUUAAUCACGUAUAAAGUCGGACCACGUGAAAUUGCCUCGGAGAUUCAAGAACCGGAGUCUCACCCGCUAACUAAAACCCCAGUUCACCGCGGCCCAUGUUUUUGCCAUCAGCUGCUCUUAGCACCUGAAUUAUUUUAAGUUUGAUUUAAUUUAAUCCAUAGUGGAUGAGCUUUUGGACACCCCGCCAGAAUUAGUAGAUUAGGACCUGUCGUGGCCGACAUCAUCAAAAGUGGGGUGCCGGCUUCGUGCAUGGAAAAUUAAUUCGCGUACAAAGAUUCCUAGGAGCAUGACAUCGUACAACCCCUCACUUCUGGGACAAAUAGCUAAACGCUACGCCCACACCAAUUAUAUCAUUCUUUCUGCAUCAAUCACAUUUUGGCACCGUACAAAAAAGCCUUGCUUUUAAGCCCACAUGAUCAAGGUAGAAACAGAUCGUGACCCAUCACCAUCGUCACUGUAUCCUGUUUCCCGAUUAUACAUUAUGGCAAGAUCAAACGAUCAAAUAAUAAAAUAAAUAGAAUAAGGAAAUAGAUUGGACACAUGAUUUACGUGCUUUAAUUGUAGUGAUUUACGUUAAUGGGGGAAAAUAACAACAAAUUUCACUAUAAAUUAAGUUACAUAACAUAUAUUAUAAUUACAUUCGGAUCACUUAAACACACUUGGUAUUUUUCUAGCUCUCCAUUAUCUCCAAUAACUAAAUGGUGCUUAACCACAUAAUUUCUCAAAAUAAUCUCUCAAUCUCCUAAAUGAAUACAUAAAAUCUCAAUACACAAUUUUAAUCGCUAGAACACUCUCCAAUUGGAUCGCGAUGUAAGAGAGGCGUCGCCACUAGUCAUGUCAACAACAGCCCACUCCCACGAAUCAAGAAUAUAUUAUAUGGUUACCCAAAAUCGAGUAACCGACUUCAAUGAGGGAAACGUGUACGUAUCAUGCGCAGAAGCAAAUUUGGUCAACCUCAGAAAAGUCCAAGUCUCCCUUUUGAAUUUUCCUUGGCAACUUUAAUGAGGACAUCGUUAUCUUUAAUUUCCUUUUAUAUUUUCUUCCACCACCAAAUCUAAUUUACCAAACGAAGUUAGCUUUGCUUGAUUUUGACGUCUGCCAAACAUCCAAAUUUCCAACUUUAAUAGACCGAACUUUCUUGCAAUUUACUUGGGGUGGGAUUUUGUUCAUUGGCUCAAACUCGAGAUAUAUAAGUACCGUCUAAUCUUUAAAUAAUCAUAAGCCAAAGUUGUUCACGACAAUAAUCUAAUCUUUCCUCAAAAAGCACCACUGCAGGAGAAACAUAUGGUAACUAACUAUCACAAGUUUGAGUUGAGCAAUUGACAAUUGAAUUUGCUGCUCCUGUUCAUUUUGAUAUAAUGUCAUUUCUUUAUAUUGAAUGUCACCUUAAAAAUAAGUUCUCAUAGCAUUUUCUUAGUGUUCCCUUCUUCCAUAUCUCAAACUACUCACAAGAACCAUAGAAUUACAUUAGGUGGUAUGGUCAAUUUGCACAAUGCACACACCAAACCGAAUUCACCUUUUUGAUUUGGUUGAAGCAUUGUCAAAUCGAGGUUUGGUUAGGACAUGCACAAGUAAUAACUAUUUCCUCUUAGGUAUGUCUCUGAUAGAUAUUUGCUGCAAACUUCGAAUCGGAUGGGAGGAAAAAGUUGAUAUUCUAAAUAUGACAUUUCGGGCUGAUAUAGAAGAUGUGAGAUUUCAAGUCAAAUAACUAGCGUCCACCCCCCUCCCCCUUCGCCCAACCCUUUCUCUUAUUGGAUAACAAUAGAGACUAGACAAGUGAAGAACAUCCCACGAAGGUCAUCGAGAGCCGGCAGAGUAAAGCCAAGAAAAAGGAGAAACCAUCCCUUCGAGUCAAAUAAAUGAGGAGAGCAACCACGAAAACAUCAGAUGCUCCUAAAGAAAUGACCACACUCCAAACACAAGACAAACCACAACUUAACGAAAAAUUGGGUUUUUUUAGGGAUUUCUUAAAAAAGUGUCUCGUGAUAUUUGUUAAAAAUAUCUGUGAAGAAGUUAUUUAAAGGUUUCUUGUUUUCUAAUACAUUAUUUUUUCUGCAAUAUGUGUAAAAACGAAAUAAUUCCUUCUAAAUAUGCUUAACAUAAGCCUUUUUAAUUGUACGCAUCAGAGGUGAUAUCAUAGACAAAGAAACGAGUGAUAAUUAACAAAUGAAAUUAUUUGAUUAGGAAAGUGAAAAGCGGUUUUCUGAUGGAAACACUGAAACUACAGGAAGGUGAAGGCGGUAACGGUGAGUUCAUAUUUUAUCUUUUAUGAAAUUNNNNNNNNNNNNNNNNNNNNNNNNNNNNNNNNNNNNNNNNNNNNNNNNNNNNNNNNNNNNNNNNNNNNNNNNNNNNNNNNNNNNNNNNNNNNNNNNNNNNACUUCAAAUCCAAUACCAGUGGUGGACCAUAUCAACUCAACAUGAGACUUCUGAUAUAAAAAAGGGAAAAAGUUAGAUAAUAAUCCCCCCCCCCAAAAAAGAAGAAGAGGAAGAGACAUAAAAUUGCUCCUCGAUCGCGAAUAGCGCCAGAAGCAAACCCACUACUCUAGGAUCUUUUCAGUGGCCUGAUACAGUUAUAGUCAUGCUAUGUGUUGCUUUUUCUUUUAUGGAGUUACUUUAUUGUCCUAUUACGAGUCAAAAGCAGCAAGAAAAAUAAAUCUGAAAAAGUUCGAUCGGUGACUAUUUUAGGUGCUUCUCAAUUUGAGUUAGGUAUGCAUUUCUAAAGAAAGAGUGGGAGAAUAUAAAAUUAUGAAACUUUGUUAACUCAUAUUCAUUUAGGUUAGAUGAUUUGUUUAUUUAAUUUUCUAUUGAAUUAAAAUUAACGUAGAAGGAAAAUUAAAAUUAUUAUAAAAAUUUGUUUAUGCAAUCCAUAAGCAUGAUCUUAAUGCCUAAAAAUGGAAUUAUCGACUAUACGCAUGGUUCAGAAUAGGAAAUUUCCUAACGCGGAGAUGCUUAAAAAUCUCAAACAAAUCAAAAUUAGUAUCGAAUAUAUUAAAUUAAAUAAUCAAUAAUUGCAAACUAGGCAACGAAUAAUCAAAUCGAAUUGGUUCGAGAGAUUACCUGGUUUGAAGUAUUCAAUUCCAGAAUCGGGGCCGGCGAUGGGGCGCUUUAUGGCGACCAGUGAGGAGGAACGUCAGGACCAAAGCAGCAACGACGGCGAUUCAGCAAGGACGCAGCAAAUUGCGGACGGGUUCGCUGGAACAAAAGACGCAACGGUGAAGGUUUGUUGGUCGGACUCUGCUUGGCGGCGACGGUGUGGGCUCGAUCAACGCUAGUCUGCUCUGGGCAAACUGCGAAAGGAAAUCAAAACAGCAAGCGGAGGUGGCGUCAAGUGGAGCCGGGAUGCCGCCUGGAAUCACCGGAAACCGCCAGGGACUGCUGCUGUGGCGUUCGAAUAAGUCGGCAAAUCUGCUGUCGUGGCCGCAGCAGGACGUGCUGAGCGCGACUAAGUGAGCCAGCAAGCGAGGUAGAGGCGCGACGAUGGGCAAGCCGGCGGCAAGCGCAGUGACUGAUGAGGGGCGGCGGCGGCGGCGUUCGUAGGAGGACAGAGCCGAAGAUCAACACCGGCGAACAAGGUCUCGAGAAUUUCGGCGAGAAAGCAAACCCUAGACCGCCGGACGAAAGCGGCAACGACACCGAGAAAAUAGACCCCACCGGUAAACAAGGACAAGCAAUCUCUUCUCAGUGUGUCCUUUUAUAGUGCUUUUUUUUUUUUUUUUGGUACUUUGUCUUUUUUUGGUGAACUAUUAAUCUCACCUUAUAAUGAUGUGGUUGGCUUGACUCGGGCAUGUCUGUUGGGGUUUGGAUCGAGUCCAGAGGAGAUGAAUCGAGUCUUGGGGGCUAGUUCUCGGAAAUUUACUGCAGAGAAAGGACGGAUGCGGGAAUGAGUGGAUAGGGAUGAUUAUAAUAACAUCUUGAUCUGAGGGGCAUUGGGAUUGAUUGGCCUACAGUUGCAGUGACCGAAUUGAGCGAUCGGGUCCACUCGGCCAAUUCCGAAGAAGUAUAGAAAAGAACAUUACAACAAGGAAGCGCCAGUGGACAGGAAAAAAAAAAUUAAGGAAGCACAAACUUAGAUCUGGAAAUUUGGGAAUUUUGAUUGCCGAUUGUGUAGUUAUGUGUUGGAAAAAAAUGGAGAAUCUUUUUAGACUUGAAUAAUUUCACAUUUUUGUCUGUCCUACUCAAACUCUCAAUUCAUUUUUAGACUUUUGCAUUAUUUCUUUGUGAGAGUCGAAUCACACUCGUAAAAUUAAAUGUCCUCACCUCCAAACCCUUAAGUAAAUGGGGAAUUGAACCACUAGGGGUGGCCCUAGUGGCUGCCCUAGUAGCCACCAUUCCAACUUAAAAAUGGGAGAUAGGGGGUUCAAAUCCCCACCUUCUCAGGGGGUUGGGGUGAGGGUUGGGGUGAGAGCGAUUUCAUUUUAGGAGUGGAUUUCGACUCCCACGCUCUGCAAGGAGGCAGAGUAAAAGUCUGAGAGUGAAUGUUAGAGUAAGAUUAGAGUAGGACCAACAAAAAACAAUGGGGAAUUGAACUUUCCAACUCCUUUUUAAGUGGGAAGGCUAGUCAAUGGGCAACCCUCGAUGUUUAACCACUCUUAAAAAGUGCUUUAUAUAUAUUUAAAGAGGAUUAUUUUAAAUAAAAUAUAAUUUCAUAAAUGGCCGAUUAUAUAUUCGAUUAGCAAAAAAUUGAUGUUUUGGAAAUUAACUUUUCAUUUGAUUUCUUCGUAGGUAUCAUGAAAUAUUCCUUAAUAAAUUCAUGUAAUGAAACCUAUAAAUUACGGAGGACGUAUACCUAUAAAGCGAAAAAUUGGAAAGAGCCAAUCCAUUGAUGGAGAAUAUUUGCUUUUGGCAUGAUUCUAUUUUGGGGGAUUGGAAAGUGCUUGCUUUUUGCCAAGUCAUGAAUCACGACUGCCCCUUGACAGAUGAAAAAGAAAUGGCAACAAUCUUGUGCCGUUCCCACGAAUAUAGGCUUUUCGAUUGGGAUGAGAAGGAUGUUAGUCAUUGAAAUAGAACCAAUCUUACCAUGAUAUGGUUGUGAAGACAUUCCAGCAAUGUCCUUUGAAUUUUUACUUUUCAUAAAGUUAUUGUAUUUAUCCCCCAAACAUACUCUAAUGAAUCAAUUUUUUCCACCCUGGCACCUCUUAAUUCUUCCAUCUAUAAAUUUUGGGCACUUAGUUUAUGCGAAAACAAGUUCACCACCAACUAUAGCUGUACCAUUCGCUAAAAUUUAUCCUAUUUUUAUGCAUACAAAUAUUUUUAUUAGAACAUAAGUAUUGGGAAUAGAAAAAGGAUCACUUGUAAGGUGGUCAUAUAAACUCUAAGUCCAAGGAAAGAUUAUAAACAGCUCCUUUUUUGUUUCAUCUUUUCUGCACCUACUAAAAUUCUGAAAACAAAUCACACUACCUUUUAUGGUGAUUUUACAAGACUGGGAUGACGGGAAACGUGGUAUGAUGCAUUUCGAAGAAGUUGCAAGAACUAAGUGUGGAACGGGGUCAACAACCAAUGAUCAGGUAGGAAAGUGAGUGAGUGGUGACAAAGACAUAAUUGAAGGAAAGAAUAAAAAAUGGCCCUAAGCCCAUAAGUUGACUGGGCGUGUGGGACGAGAAUCAAAUGAAACGUCCAACAAACGUAGACAUGUGAACUUACACUUCUAACCUUCCUCAAAAGCAAAAAUGAAAAGGGUAAUGCCUUUAAACUUUAAUUAUUAUUUUUCUAUCGUCUACAGGCUUCUAGUCGCAGUUACCAAAAAUACCUUAAUAUUACUUACUUUAUUAGAAUGACUGGACUACUUUUCUCUAUUUCAAUUAUGAAUUAGUGUUGAGUUACCAACUCUAAUUUGGAUUACUUUAUCAAAUUUCAUUCACAUAUCUUUAUCAUGCCUUAAAUUUACUAACUCUUAUAUGUCAACCUCUUCUUCGACUAAGCUUUUAACUGGUUACCAAUUCUCAUUCGAAUUAAUUAUCAAUGUUUUGCUGCGUCAUGAGCUCUAAAAAGAGAUGGCCCCACGACGACCCUACUGUCACGCUGUUUCGAGUUAAUGAGCCUCAUCUGCCCAUUGGCUUGUGGGGCGGGCAUCUCGUUUCUUAUCUAGAAACUGAGUCAACUUGGUUUCUUCAUUUAAGCCUUCUUGAAAUGGUAUUGCUGCGAGUCUCUCGAUGACUGGUCGAAAUUCGACGAGAGAAAGGCAUUUUGCUUUUGCAACGGGAUUUCAUUUUCUAAAUGCCCAUUUAUGGAUCAAUCAAAUGUCCAGCAUAAACUCUCUCUCUCUCUCUCUCUCUCUCUCUCUCUCUCUCUCUGCGCUUCCCAAGAGAAAAAAAAAAUCAUAUUCCCGCAUGCCACCUGCCUGGAUGGGAUGAAAAAAAAAAAAUUGCCCUUAAUUUUGGGUAGGAUAGGAUAGGCCUGGGUACUUUUGAUACCCCUCCUAAGAAGGAUGCUCGAAAGGUAAUCUCCACGGUCGGUGUACCAAGUGAAAGGGAAAAGUCUUUUAGCGAUCUUUCUCAACCAUUAACAAAAGGGAAAAUUUAAAGAUCGGUCAUGAAAGGAUUCACAGACGCGCUUUACUUUUUCUCUUUCAGUAUCGUGCUUCUACGACCUUUCUUGGUAGGUCGCGAUCAAUUUCUAUUGUCUUGCUUCAAGGCAGCCUCAAUCUCUUCAUGAUCUAAACCGAGAUUGAAUUCCCUAAACUCAGAAUAACUUGUCUUAACAAUGAUUUUAGCCUUCAACAAUUUUACGAUGGAUAGAAAUUUUUCUUAUGUUUUCCUUUCCACUAAAUGUUCAGAUUUGUAAGUUGCAAGAUGAUGUUUAUUAAUCAAAACAAUAAGGGUGAGUAUAGUUGUGAGCUGGUGUACUUUUUUGCAUACACUGAUUAUCUACUUCCUUUGUUUUUUUUUUUUUUGGUGACCCAGGAACCCUCCGCACGGCCGGCAGCCGGAGGAGUAAACCUGGGGGGCUGCGUAAGCGGGAGGACCCACCACCCCCGGCAACCCACUUAAGACGCCACGCAGCAAUCCACCAGCCUCCCUUCAACUUGCGUUGAAGGGGGCUUCGAACUCCAGACCUCCAACGUGGAAACCUGAAGCCUACCCAGCAGAGCCACCACGGCCGGUGAUACUUCCUUUGUUUUUUAUAAAAGGCAAAACAAGAAAAGAAGACACCCCAUUUAGCCAGCACCGGCACUAAAAACAUCUUUGAAGAUUGCCCUAGAGGAUAAUGGGAGAUUUUAUAGGAGAAUUAAUUAGAUCUCCUAAAUCAACCUCUCUUUCGCUUGGAUAGCACUUCAAUCAUCAUGCAUCUAUUUCAAUUUAUGAGAUUUUUUUGAACUAUAGAAACAUGAAAACUCUAAUGUAAUUGCUUGAUAGGUAGAACCAUCAACUCUUGCUUUAACUUAAGCUUCUACGCGUUGCAAGCAUCAUCUUAUUCUAUUCACGUAGCCCAAAAAAAAAAAAAUGAUUCAAAUAUCUUGUAUAUUUUGAAAUUUUAUCCAAAUAGUCAGCCCUGAUCAUUGGUCACUUACGUAGAUUUGAUGACCGUUGGAGUGCCCAAAUUGAAGACCUAGCUCAUAGCAUUACAGCAUGAUAUUCCAAGAUUAUCUUCGCCAAAAAUCAUGGACUAAUUCUCUCAACAGAUUGAUGAGAUGACGUGAUCAAAACCUGCUAAUAAUAGAAGAUUAAGAGAAGGGCUAAACACGUGUUUUUCAAAAAAAUAAAAUAGUUUUGGAUAAAUAUGCCAUGAGUGUAAAAGUUUAGUAUUUUUUGUAAGACAGGAUUUAAUUUUGGAUAAAUAUGUCAUGCAAGUAUGAUUUGAAAUUUCUAAUUAUUUUAAUUGAACUAUAGACAAAUAGAAGUUUGGAACUAAUUUCCUAGAGUCCACGAGGAAAUUUCCAAGAAGGAAGACAAAUAGAAGUUUGGAACAAAUUUCUUAGGGCCCGCAAGGAAAUUUCCAAGAACGACGCUCAAAAGGUUAUCCCCAAGGUUGGCAUACCAUGUGAAGUGAAAAAGACUUUGACACUAUUUGCCCAGCCAUCAACAAAAAGAAAAAGUUCAAAAUCAGUCCUGAAAAGGAAUCCCAAACGAUCUUGCUUUUUCUCAUCAAUUGUCGUAUAUCUUUGACAUUUCUUGGAAAUCCAGAAUUAACUGUUCUUUAAAAACCUUCGAGUACCUACACACAUACAGAAUAUAGCUAAACAGAGGAAUUAUAAACAAGAGGGCCAGGAAAAUCGAAGGAGAAAGAAAAUAGUAUUAGUUAGUUCGAUUAUCAAGAGGAAAAAUUGCAAGAUGGCUUGUCAUGUAAUAUGAAACUUCAUUAAGGUUAUUUUUGUAUAGUUGUGAGCUGAUGUACUUUUUGUCUUUUGCUUAUUAUCUGUUUCAUGUGUUUUUCAUAAAAGGGGAAAAGAAGAAAAGAAGAUAACGCAUUUAACCAACGCCAAUCUAUUAAAUUGCGAUGCAUCUUUGAAGAGUUCUCUAAAGGAUGAUGAGAGAUUGUAGAGGACAAUUAAUCCGAUCUCCUAAAUCAAUCUCUCUUUGACAUGGACAGCACUUCAAUCAGUACUCGUCUAUUCAAGUUCACAUGAUUUUUCUGAAUUGUAGAAACAUGAAAACGUUCUUGUAAUUGCUUUAUAUUAAGAGUUAUUAGCUCUAGCUCCUAAUGUUACGCCUAACUGUUGGAGCGAUGGAUCACAAUCAUCAGCUAAUCCUAGUCGCCUCAGCUAGUCCGCACAUGCCUUGGACUAUAGUUGGAUCAUCAAAGAUGGUCUGUAUUAUUGACUAAGCAACACCCAUUUUUCUCCGAAGACAGACCGGCAUGGCAAAGGUUGGGGGCUAUACAUAUUUGAUGAGAGAUUACUUCAAUUGGUUAUUUUCUCACUUUUUCGUUAUUAUUCCUCCAUGGUUGAGAACUGCAGUAAAUUGGUAUAUAACUUAUGAAGGUGUAAGUGCAAAGGUAAAGCAAAAUCUAAUUGAAACUUUACUCAUCAUUCGAUUUUUUCUCAAGCACAAAAAUGAAAUGUUACUAUUUGAAUCAAUAAAUUUGCAUCUACCUUUUAUUUUCUAUUAGGUUUUCCCACUGAUGAAAAUUUCUGAAUCUAUCCCUAGUUUUCUCCAUCGCAGCCAAGAUAAAUCCAAGGAAAUCUCAAUUCUAGAAGGUGAAAUUCACAAAACUAACCUCGAAUUCUGAGGGCAUAAUACAUUCAGAAUUGGGCAAAAUCGGAAAAGAAAUGGUCCAGAUAGGAUUCAACCAGGUCGGCAGUUCCUUGAACGCCUCAAGCUGGUUCCGUCCAAUGAUCAGAACGGCUCGCUGACGCCAUUAACCUUUGGACCGGUCGCUGGCAUGGCGCAACAGUGGAGCUAACGUAAGACGAAUGCGAAGCGACUUUAACUAUAGUAAAAUUAGAGACUGACGAGUGUCGACACGAAGGGACACAAAUUCAGGUGAGGCAGGUUGCUGUCAAGUGAAAUUAAAUCGAGACGGCCAGGUCGUCUAUCACAAACUCAUUUGUGAAAACACGAGAGAAGUCAUUUUACUAAGCAAAAACAUUUAUAUAGGUGAGAGAAACUGUGAGAGGGACACUUUGUAAAUAUUUAAAGGUGUGAUUUAUAGUUUGGGGGAGGAUCUAAUGUGUCGUAUGGACAACGACUAUUGAAGAGUCUCAUGGUUACAUGGUUUACAGUGAGAUACCGUAGAAGAAGUCGAGUCUUGUACGACGGCAAGUUCUACACUUGAAACAAGACGAUCAUUGUGCUCAAGUGAAAUUUGACCUAUCUGGGCUGUUAGAGCUUGAAAAGAGGAGCAGACACACCCACACUGGGCCUCUAUAAAUUUUUUAGCAGUUUCUCUUUCUCUUAACUCUUUACUUUCCACUAUUUAUAUUGCUAAUUCACUUUGCUUGUAGUAAUAGAAUUUUAUUGGGGUAAGUUUUACAUAAUUAGUUUGUGUUUUCUCUAAAAAUAAAUUGAUCCUAACUUUUGGUUGGUUUUUUGGGUCUAACAAUUUGUGUCAUAGUAGGCUCCUUGUUGUAAAGGUUUAAACUUUUGAGAUAAAAGAUGGAUGCCAAUAAUUGUUGGAACUAGCUCGAACAGAUUACUUGACCUGCUUCGUCUGAUGGUGCUAAUUAUUCUCAUUUGAAACAUAGGAUGGCCAUGCUCAUUCAGUCAAUGGACCACGAACUUCGCAGGUCAUGCAAUAUGAAACCCUUGUACUAAUGAAGAUAGGGGAAAUUCCUAGUGCUUCCAAAGAUAAAAUGAGUUCACGGCCAAUGACGAGAGAAAGAGUAUCAUUGGACCCAAAGGUAAAUCAUGUUCUCUAUCAUGCAGUUGCCCCUGCUGAAUUCAACCAAAUUAUGUCGUGUUAAAUGGCCAAAGAAAUUUGGAAUCGAUUAGUGGUCAUGUAUGAAGGAACUAAUCGCAUGAAAAAGACGAAGAUUGGCGUGCUGCAACAAAAUUAUGUAUUGUUCAUGAUGGUGGCCCAUGAGAGCUGCAAGGAUAUGUUCGCUUACUUCAUGGACAUCAUCAACGGCCUAGCCUCUCUUGAUAAGCCUAUUUCUAGUGAUAUAUAGAGGAAAGUGUUAUUUCAGCCCUUAAUCAAAUUAUACACCAAUUUGGUUUUAAAUUUUUUGAAUGAUAUAAUAUAAGUCCUCACCUUAGAAUGAAUCUCACCUUAGUCUCACACCAAUGUCCAUCUAAAAUUGCUGACGUGACCACUUAGCCCAUACUGAUCGUCUACAUGUAUAAUUGGCAAUUGGCAUUAAAUUUUAAGGAUUUUUGCUUUAUGUCUUUAUUGUACAUUCCUUGUUGCUGUCAUCUUCCCAAAUGAACUUAUAGCUUCUCUAAUUGUCUUGGGCGUGCAAAAUAGUUGCAUUUUUUGCUCGAUAGAGCAUCACUUUCAUUACUAAGGGGGAAAAGUGCCAUGAGAAUGCCCAAAAUCAUAACAUAACAAAGACCAAAAAGUGGGAAGGUGGACUGACGUGAUAGAGUAUCCUAAUCCGUUAAAUCCAAAAGUUCAAUCAUUAAAAUCCCUAAUAAGAAUCAUCACAUCAUAAUAUAAACUGUUCUUUGAGCAAGGCUUCGAUCGGACUGUGUGAGGUUGUUGCUCCCCUCAUCUUUGAACCUUGGGGAGAGGGGAUUAAGUUGGAGUUAUCGAGCAACAACCUCGCACUGCAUUGCCUCUUCAACGGAGCUCAGAAGUCGGUGGAAUAGGCCGUCCUCGCCGCCAUGGGACCCUCCGUGAUCCUGAUCCUCUUCCACCUUACACCUUGCGUGCCCUUCAUAGCCUAAACCCUAAUCCCUUCCCAUUGCACACCAAGCUCUCCGCAACUCUGCAUCACUUCAAGUUAAACAUCAUUUCACCGCAUAAAGCCAUUUUUCUUGAUCUCCAAAUCGGAAAACACUCCCUAUGAAAAAGUCGAUCACAAUUUCUAGGUGAUUGUGGAGUUGUGUGGGCUCGACGACCUCGUAUAUGAGGUUGUCGCAGCAGUCCUUCGCCCUGGCAACCGUCGUGAACAAGAAACAAAGAGAGACGGAGGUGGUGAAGACAACAAACAGUAGCUAGAAGGAAAGAAGAGAAAACAGAAAACAAUUAGGAAAAGCCAAAAAAACUAAGCAAAAGGGCAUCAUUUCGACUAUAGUUAACCACUGUCAGAUCAUCAUUUCAAUGUUGCAACAUUGAAUAUAUUCAUAUGGCCCAGAAACUAAAUUGAGUACGUUUCAGAAGUCCAAGGACCAUAUUGAACAAAUCAAAUAUUUAUAGAUGACCUUUAAUAUUGGACUAAAGUUCAUGAACCACAUUAAACAAAUUUAAAAUUUAGGAGCCACAUUACACAUGUGGUCAAAAUUCAAGAACUAUUUGUGUUAUUUAUCCAUAAUAAUUCUAUAUCAAUUUGAUAUACGCAACUCGUGCUGUGCGGAUUGCUGCACAAAUCAAUAAUGAAAAAUGAUAUACAAACAUUUGUGUGCAAAGAAACCUUCAUGUUAUCAUAUUUGCAGUUAGACUCUAGUGUUAACAUAACAUUAAUAAUUUUUUAGCAACUUAUUAAUGAAAUAGCUAACUUGAUUUUUUGAUCUCUUUCUUCACUAUGAUUCAACUGCACAUAAUUUAUAUAUCUUUAUUUUAGUAAACAUAUUUGCACACUAAUGUAAAUUGUUAUGGUAGUAAGGUGGGAAAUUUCUUUAAUUUAAAGGAGUACAAGUAGAAUAAAUAUGGAGAGAGGGGAGUGUUAUAGAUAAAGCCAAAUAUUUGUUUUUAGGGGCUUUUUUGUCUUUUCUAUUAGAUUUCCUUUUAGGUUAAAAGUGGUACCUAUAUAUUAGCGAUGGCAAAACCCUAGCCGUCAAGACGCUGAAAAAGGAAAUAGAGAGGCAAGAAAAAGAGAGAAGAAAAAAGUGAGUUUUUUCUUGAUGAGUGUUCUCAAUCUCUUUGUGCCCUGAUCUUGAGAAAAGAUCGUCGUUGUAUUCUAACUUUUUCCGAAGUUUAGUGGAUUUGCAGAGUGCCUCUGCGCGGAGACGUAGCCCAGGUUUGGGUGAACUUCGAUAACAAUUUUUUUGGCGUGUUCAUCUGAUUCUGCUCUUUUAUUAUUAUAUUCUGUCCGGUGAAUUGUUUGCGAACAUUAUUUUUCUGGAAUCGACGUGCGAUUUCGUAACAACUGGUAUCAGAGCCUGGGUUGGCUAAUCGAGAACAUCGAGGGUUUUCGGUGACGUUCGAUUGAAAGCAAACAGGAUGGCAGAAGAUAAAAUCAGAAUCGAUAAGUUCAAUUGAGAGGAUUUCGGAUGGUGGAAACUACAAAUAGAGGAUUAUCUUUAUCAAAAAGAUCUCUAUGCACCACUUGAGGGUUGGAAACCCGAGAUGGCAGAAGUGGAUCCAACAGCAGAAACCGGAUGAAAAAUUCUUGAUUGAAAGGCGUUAGGUGCGAUUCGUCUAGGGUUGACGAAAAAGACAGGGUACCACAUCGCGAAAGCAAAAACUGCAAAAGAAGCCAUGGAUAUUCUAAUGAAUAUUUUUGAGAAGCCAUCCACAUCAAAUCAGGUAUUUUUGCUGAAGAAACUGGUUAAUAUGAAGUUAUCUGAUAGAGGUUCUGUGACAGAGCAUAUUAAUAGUUUCACGCAGGUCACGGGUCAAUUGGAAUCCGCAGGCAUAAAUUUAGAUAUGAAGCUUCAAGCUUUAUUAUUUUUAUGUUCUCUUCCAGAAAGCUACAAUACCGCAGUGCAGGGAAUUUCGAGCACCAUGAAGGAUGAUUUAACUCUUGAUGAUGCUGUGAGUAGUAUCAUGGAUGAAGAGAUGCGAAGGAAAGUCUCAGGUGGAGAUAAUUUUUUCUGCAUCUACAUCUUUAACGGCACUUGCGGUGGAGAACCGUGGAAGAAGUAAAAGUAGAGGAAAUUUCAGUGGUCGUGGCAGAUCACAAUCAAGGGGUAAGAGACAAGUUGCAAAAGAUGAGUGUUGGAUUUGUCACAAAACCGGACACCGGAGGUUUCAGUGUGAAGCCUACAAAAAGAAGCAGCAAGAUGAGAAUCAAGGAGCUAAUGUAGUUAGCGAUAAAUCUUUGCUAGAUAACUUGUGUUUGUCUGCAGGGUUUGACUUGACAACAGAUAAAUGGUUUAUUGAUUCUGGCGCUUCUUUUCAUUGCACCUCGCAAAGAGACAUAUUUGAUGAUUAUGCCAGUGGAGAUUUUGGACAAGUGGUUGUGGGAAACGGCCACAUGUGUCCAAUUGUUGGGAAGGGAACCGUAACUGUGAACAUCUCAAGUGGAGGACGUCUAGUUUUGCGUGAAACUAGGCAUAUUCCAGAAUUAAAGAAAAAUCUUAUUUCAACCAGUAAACUUGACCAAGAAGGUUUGGUAAUAACCUUUGGUUGUGGAGAGUGGAAAAUAACCUCAGGGGUAAGAGUAGUAGCAAAGGGAAAGCGUACAGGUACACUUUACCUUAUCCAAAGAGACAAUAUCAGUGAUAUGGUUGCAACUACAAUGGCUACAAGUAAUUUAUCUACUCUUUGGCAUUAUCGUUUAGGACAUCUUGGUGAAAAAGGUGUAAAGCAGUUACACUCGAGAAAAUUACUUCUGGGUUUACAAAAAGUUGAGUUAGAUUUUUGUGAGAGUUGCAUUUAUGGAAAACAGAAGGCUCUUAGUUUUCAAUUAAAUGGGCGACAAAAUAAAGGCCAGGAGCUAGAGUUGGUUCAUACUGAUGUAUGGGGACCUGCUCAAGAACUCUCUUAUGGUGGUAAGAGAUAUUUUGUCACAUUCAUUGAUGAUGCAACAAGAAAGACUUGGGUCUAUGCUCUUAAAGAAAAAUCAGAAGUAUUCGGGAUGUUCAGAAUGUGGAAGACCAUGGUAGAAAAAGAAACAGGUUAUCAGAUUAAAGCUUUGAAAUAUGAUAAUGGUGGUAAAUACACAAGUAAAGAAUUUGCAAAUUAUUUGAGUCGAGAAGGCAUACAUGGGUUAAAGACUGUUCCUAAAACUCCUCAAGAGAACGGUGUAGCUGAAAGGAUGAAUAGGACUAUUCUAGAACGUGCGAGAUGCAUGAGACUACAAGCGGGUCUCCCGCUACACUUAUGGGCUGCCACAGUUGAUACAGCUGUUUAUCUUAUCAACAGAAGUCCAUCUAGUGCGUUGGAUGGAGAAAUACCACAAGAGCGGUGGUCAGGUAAGAAGAUUAAUUAUUCACAUCUAAAGGUGUUUGCUUGUAUUGCAUAUGCUUUGAUUGACAGGGAGGAUAGGAAAAAGCUUGAUGCUAAGUCCUAGAAGUGCAUCUUUAUCGGAUACGGUGGUGACGAGUAUGGCUAUAGACUUUGGUAUUAUGAGAAUAACAAAGUCAUCCGCAGUCGCAAUGUGGUAUUCCAUGAAGAAAAGAUGUACAAGAAUCGUCAGACAGAGACAGAGCAUGAGAAGGUAGUACAACCAAAGUAUGUUGAAUUAGACAUAAUGCCUGUGAAGAUGUUUCCAGUAGAUCAAAGUUCACCUGAAAGAGAGGUUCAAGAUGAGCCUAUUAUCAGUGAAGAGGUAGUUCAAGAAGAACGCAGUGAUUCGGAGCAAACGAAUGACCCUGAAGUACCUAUCUUGAGAAGGUCUACACGUGUGAGAAAGCCAAAGGUAAUUUUUGAUCCAUCAGCUAAUACUGUUCUGAGCCAUGUCUUAUAUACAGAUUCGGGGGAACCGGAGACUUAUGAUGAGGCAAAGGCAGACACGUCUCACUUGCAGUGGGAGUGUGCUAUGAAAGACGAGAUGAGCUCGUUACUUCAGAACAAAACUUGGGAGUUGACCAAGUUGCCCACAGGUAAAAAAGCUUUAUUAAACAAAUGGGUGUACAGGAUUAAGAAUGAAGCAGAUGGUAGUAUUAGAUACAAGGCGAGACUUGUAGUCAAGGGCUUUUCUCAAAAAGAAGGGAUAGACUACUCCGAGAUAUUUUCACCUGUAGUGAAAAUGACAUCAAUUAGAGUUUUGCUAAGUAUAGUUGCAGUGGAGGAUCUUCAUCUUGAGCAGUUAGACGUAAAAACAACGUUUUUACAUGGUGACUUAGAUGAAGAUUAUACAUGGCACAACCUAAGGGUUUUGAAGUCAAAGGUAAGGAGCACAUGGUAUGUCGCUUGAAGAAAAGCUUGUAUGGCUUGAAACAAGCUCCGCGACAAUGGUACUUAAAAUUUGAUGGUUUCAUGCAAGAAAAAGGAUUUGCACACUGUGAGUCUGAUCACUGUGUUUAUUUUCGCAAAUAUGAUGAUGGUGACAUUGUGUAUCUAUCUUUAUAUGUGGAUGACAUGCUGGUGGCUAGUUCCAAUAUGAAGAGAAUCGUAGUAGUGAAAAAGAUGUUAUCAUCACAGUUUGCUAUGAAAGACUUGGGAGAGGCCAAGAAUAUUUUAGGCAUGAAAAUUAUCAGGGACAGGAAAAAUAAGAAAUUAUGGUUGUCGCAAGAAGACUAUGUGAACAAGGUGUUAAAGAGAUUUAACAUGGACAAGGCAAAACCGGUUGCAACUCCUCUAGCGAAUCACUUCAAACUUUCCAAGGAUAUGUCCAAGCACUCAGGCUUUGAAAGAUGAGAUGGCGGUAGUUCCAUAUGCAUCAGCAGUGGGGAGUUUGAUGUAUGCCAUGGUGAGCACGAGACCAGACAUUGCACAAGCAGUGGGAGUUAUGAGUCGAUAUAUGCAGAACCCAGGUAGAGAGCAUUGGAAUGCAGUUAAAUGGAUAUUGAGAUAUCUAGCAAGUAAUUCCAAUUACUCACUUUGUUAUGGUGGUACAUCUCUAGAGUUGCAGGGUUAUGUAGAUGCAGAUCAUUCGGGUGAUCGAGAUAGUGGUAAGAGUACCACUGGAUAUGUCUUUAUAGUUGCAGGUACAACAGUGAGUUGGGUAUCUCAACUACAAAAAAUAGUGGCUUUAUCGACAACAGAGGCAGAAUAUGUAGCGAUUACAGAAGCCUCCAAGAAAAUCAUGUGGUUACAAGAUUAUAUGGAGGAGUUACAUCGAAAACAGCCAGUCAGUACACUGUGGAGUGAUAGUCAAAGUGCAGUGCACUUAGCAAAGAAUGCAGUUUAUCACUCAAGAACUAGACAUAUCAAGAAGCGUUAUCACUUUAUCAAGUCAGCAUUGAAAGAUAAUGAAUUAAAGCUACAAAAGAUUGAUGACUCGAAGAAUCCAGCUGACAUGAUGACUAAGGUAGUAGAUAGAGAGAAGCAUAUUUUCUGUACUACUACCAUUGGUAUUACUCCAUGUUGAUUGAUGAGGAGUAUCGUAGAGGCACAAGUUUUUCAACUACUAUUUUUUGAAGAAGAUGGAUGCAAAGUUGCUUGGUGCUUGGGUAUAUUUGUCUUCAAGUGGGACAUUGUUAUAGAUAAAGCCAAAUAUUUGUUUUUAGGGGCUUUUUUGUCUUUUCUAUUAGAUUUCCUUUUAGGUUAAAAGUGGUACCUAUAUAUUAGCGAUGGCAAAACCCUAGCUGUCAAGACGCUGAAAAAGGAAAUAGAGAGGCAAGAAAAAGAGAGAAGAAAAAAGUGAGUUUUUUCUUGAUGAGAGUUUUCAAUCUCUUUUUGCCAUGAUCUUGAGAGAAGAUCGUCGUUGUAUUCCAACUUUUUCGAAGUCUAGUGGAUUCGCAAGUGCCUCUGCGUGGAGACGUAGCCCAAGUUUGGGUGAACUUCGAUAACAAAUUUUCUAGCGUGUUCAUCUGAUUCUGCUAUUUUAUUACUAUAUUCUGUCUGGUGAAUUGUUUGCGAGCAUUAUUCUGGAAUCGACGUGCGAUUUCGUAACACAAGGGUCGAUAACACAAUUUAUUUUAAAUCAGAAAAAAAAAAUGACAUAAGUGGUUGCUAACUUUUAAUUUGUUAUGAACUUUUGCUUAUUGUGCAACGUCGUCUCUAAACUUUCAAUUUGUUCAAUAUAAUUUUCGAACUUUAACUCGAUAUGCAAUAUCAUCCACGAAUUCUUAAUUUUUUUUAUUGUGGCUUUCGAACUUUUGAUACAUGUUCAAUUUAGUCCAUGAAAAUAUUCAUUAUUGUCAUUUUUUAAAAUUCAAAUAAAUGGACUUUAUUGAUUUGGCUUUCAAUUUGGGAUGUUUGGAUGGUGAAAAAAAAUGUCAUACGUGGAUUAUCUAUGUAAAAUAUUCAAGUAAAACAACACGCGUUUAUGGCCCCAUAAAAUCACUAGAUGGCAUGAAUUAUUAUACUCUUACUUAAGUUGAAUUUUUUUUUAUGUGAAUAAUUUAGGUGUAAUGUUAUUUUUUUACUCAAUGUUCAGACUUUUUUUUUUUUUUGGGUCAGUCCUACUCUAAUCCUACUCUACACUCACUCGCAGACUUGUGCCCUGCCUCUUGCAGGGCGUGGGAGUCGCAACCCACUCUCGAAACUUACGCGUCCCUACCCCCAUCCCCCCUGAGGAGGUGGGGAUUUGAACCCCUCACCUCCCCCUUCCAUGUUGGAAGGGUGGCCACUGGAGCGAACCCCCAGUGGUUUAAUGUUCAGACUUAUCAAGUUGACAACCUAGUCACCGAACUCCGUUAACUUGAAUUAAUGAAAGGAUGGCAUUUGACAUUUUCAUAUAGUCUACGAAUGACUUCUUUCGUUCAAAGGUUCACUCCCACCUUCAAUCGCAUAUUAAAUUGAACAUACACUAAAAGGUCAUGAAUCAAAAUAAACAAAUUAAAUGUUCACGGAUGACAUCGCAUAUUGAAUCAAUGUUCAUGGAUCAUUCAUUUAAAUAUCUCUUCAUUUCCUAGAGUUCCUUUUAUUGUUUCCUCCCUUUUCUUUUUUUAAUUACUUUCUAUUUUUCCUUCUUUAUUUUCGUCCAUCAGCAGACCUCCUUAUUCAACAACGUUGACAAUUUAAUAUUUUGUUGCAUGUGUCUUUUUCACCGACAAUAAGAUUUAACCUUCGGUUACGUUGGACUUCAAAGGGAAAAAGCCACCAAAAAUCUUAAACUUUGCUCAAUGUGACAAAUUUAUCCCAAUUUUUUUUUUUGUAACAUAAAAAACCCCAAACUUUAUCAAUUGUGACGGAUUUAUUCUAAAAUUUUUUUCGUGACACAAAAAACUUUAAACGUGUAUCUGCAUGACACAUUUACCCAAAAUUAUAUGGCAUCUUCGUCUUUUACUUUUUUUAAAAAAAUUUUCCAUCUUUUUUUUUAUUUUUCUUCUCUCUUCCCUCCGCCAGUGGCGGAAGGAAGUCGCACUCAAGUGAGGGCUGCCCUCAUUAGAUCUAGCGAGGGCUGUCCUCGCUUGACCCAGGCGAGGGUUGCCCUCCCCUGGGCUGGCGAGGGCGGCCCUCACCCGACUCCAGUGAGGGCGGCCCUCGCUUGAGUUCGGCUUAUCUCCGCCAUGGUGGAGAGAAGAGAGAAGAAGAAAAAAGGAAAAAAAAGAGAGAAAAAAAAGAGGAAAAUGUCAUUGGUCAUAAAGUUUAAGGUAAAUGUAUCAUGAUUAAUAAAAUUUGAGAUUUUUUGUAUCACAAAAAAAAGUUUGAGUAAAUUUAUUACUUUUGAUAAAAUUUGGGGUUUCUGGUAACUUUUUCCCGACUUCCCCCUUUUAUUUUGGUUUCUAUUUUUAUAACUAUAAUCCCACCACGUCCCUCUCCUGCCAAAUCCGGAUGAAACGAAACAAGGGCAAUUCAGUCUAUCGGCUAUAAAAUACCGUGACAAAGCGCAACCAUAAUUUCGAAGUAUGGACACGCACUCACUCCAUUUUUUUCUAUUUUUCUAUUUUUUUAUUUUCACUCCAUUUAUUUCCCACGCCUCCACCGACAAAUCAGCAAACCUCCUCGGCCGCGGGUGAGAGAGACACUGAAACAGAGGUUCUUUACGGUUUCGCUUUCCAGAGAGAGAUAUUGAAACAGAGGAUCUUUACGGGUUGCGCUUUCCAAGAGUCUAAUCAUUCCCCAAUUAGCUCCCCUUUUGGAAGCGAGCGCAAGCUUUGAUCUGUCGUGGGCCGUGGCAGCGCAGAAACGACAAGACAAGCCACGCAAGAGAGACAGCGAUCCCUUCGAGUUAAAAAAAAGAAGAAAAAAAGACGAGAAGCAACCACGAAUCGCCGAUGAAAAAAUGAAAGAAAAAUCCUUAAAAAAAUGACCAAAAAAGGGCGACCCAGAAAAACCCAAGAAAACGCGCGACUUGUUAAUUUAUAUUAAAAAAAAAAAAGCACCAAUGGGGAAUUUUAGUGAUUAAAAAAAAGAGUCUGGUUUGUUAAGAACUUAUUUAAAGAAAGUUUCUUCGUUGUCACAUAACCUUUUUUUUUUUAAACCGCGACAUGUCUAAUCAAAAUUUAUAAAAUCUUAGUAUUUUGUCUUAAACGUACUAGAUAAGAGCCAUUUUUUUCUUCUUCGUUUUUUUUUCAGUUGUUACACGUGGAUAUUUUCUUUUUUGGGUUAGUGACGUGCGAUGCAACCGGACGAAAGGCGUCGACAGACAAAACUGAUGAUGGCCAAAGUCAAGCCACUGGAUACUUUCCAAGGGAUUCGAGGAUCGUAGCAUUGGCAUAAACUUCAAAAGUCUGCGACCGUUCCCAUGAACAUAGUCAUUCCGGUCCCUCCCUCGAUCUCGAGGAUGGAGGAUGACGAGAGAAGUAUAAAAACGACCUUUCCCCCUCCCCAUUUCCACCAUCCUCCCUUCGUUCCCUUCCCUUACCUUCGCUUUCCGCGCUUAAGGCCCUUCACGUUUUUGCGCUCCGUUUGUCUCGGCGUCUCUUGAAGAAGAAGAUCCUCCUCUUCAUUUCGGGGUUCCCCCGCUUCCAUUGCGUCGUUCGAAGGUGAAAAUCUCUACUAUUUGUCGCUAGUGUUAAAAUUUUACUGGUGGCUUAGCGAGUUCGAGAUGUCGUGCUCCGAGUGUUCUUUCUUGAGGUUAUCCAGAACCUAUCCUUUAUUAGCAGAAGUCGGGGUCUGCUUCUAAAGCACGGUGGGUUUCACUUUGGUGGUUCGUGCAGUUUUGUUACGAGAGAAGGAUUAAGCCAUGGCGGAUCGUGUGCUGAACCGAAGUCACAGCCCUCGCGAGCGUUUGGACGAGGCCCUCUUUGCUGACCGCAACGAUUGUCUGGUCUUCCUGUCAAGGUAAAAAGCAAGUACGAAAAGAAGAUUUAUUCAAAUGAUCUUGAAAUGGUUCUAGUCUAGCACAUAAACUUGACGGAAUUCAGCUUCAGAAAGUGUUUUGGUCCUUUUUGUUUUCUUGGUGAAGGCUUAAAGCCAAGGGCAAAGGCAUCUUGCAGCGCCACCAAAUACUUGCUGUGUUUGAGGCGAUCCCCGAGGAGAGCAGAGCAAGGCUUCUUGAUGGGGCUUUUGGUAAAGUCCUCAAAUCCACUCAGGUAUUAUGAGCUUCCUUCAUGGGUCACUGUUUCUGGGUUCUAGACGCUCUUGAAAUCUACUUUUCAAUAGUAACAGUGGGUUAAUUUUUUCUUUUCUUUGACCUUUUUGGGUUUGAACUCUUAAAAGAAUUUCUUUUGCUUUGAACUUUGGGGUUUAGGAAGCGAUUGUCUCGUCUCCAUGGGUUGCUCUUGCUGUUCGUGCAAGGCCGGGUGUGUGGGAACACAUCCGUGUGAACGUCCAUGCGCUUCUUCUUGAGCACUUCCAGGUUGAUGAGUAUCUGCACUUCAAAGAAGCGCUUGUUGAUGGAAGGUCAGAGCCUUUAUUGCCUAUUCUUUCUCUUCCUUUUUUUUUCCUCGUUUCUUGGUGAAUAUAAAGAACUCCGGGUCACGUUUCUUCACGCUAUUCUUGUUUUUAUUGUUUCGAGAAAACAUUAGUUGAAUUGAAUACAUUAAAUAGGAGGAUUCGUAUUGAACACUCCACAGGAGCUGAACCACUUUGUGAAAUUCCCAUUCCGUUCACCGGGCGGCACGUGUCGCCCGAGGGCCACCCUCCCUUACCUCACGUCACCCCUACCUCUCCCGACGACACCCUUCGGCCGCCGACGACACACCGCCGUCUCAGUCCACCUCUCGCCACCGUUUCACUCCUCCUUCUCCCCCCUGAAGAUCUGUUCGCUCUCAGUCAUUUCGUUUCACCUGAAUCCUCCUCUUCGCGAUUAAGUGAACCGGAGCUUGUUGUUUAUGGUGGGUCGAAGUGGAUCUCCGAUGCGGAAGUGAUUUCGGCGUCGAUUCCGGCGAAGAAAUCCAAGAAGGUAUGGAGAAAGGAAGAGAGGAAAGUUCGGGGUGAAUGUUGCGCUGUGGGUCGUCAACUUGGAGAGAGAGAGAGAGAUAGAUAGUUCUCCAUAGUGGGGAACAGAAAUUUUGAUUGUUCAACUGGUAGGUGGGCCCACAUUUGCCACGUUUCGAUAUGUGCCUUUGUUAUGUAUUAAAUGCACCUAAUAAUUUCUUAAUGCGAGUUUAUUUGUCUUGUGUUGCAGCUUGAAUCCUGAUUCUGAGCCACUUACUGCCACUUUUGGGCGGCCGACCGUUUCCACGUCUAUCGGGAAUGGCGUCGAGUGUAUCCGUCGCAGUCUCUCUGAUAAGCUCUUCCCUGACAAGGAAAGCUUGCACCCUCUGCUUGAAUUCCUCCAAGUCCACAGCUACAAGGGGAAGGUACAUCUAACAUCCGAUUGAACACAUUCAUUCGAAGUCUUGAAAAUGAGUCAUGAGUUACAAAUUCAGAUUUCUUUCACCCCAUGUCACAAUAUGGUGAACCCUGAGAACUCAAUGCCAAUUAAGAUUACAGAAUGUACUGCACAUUGACAAAUACAUUUGUGAUCUGUUUUAUGGCUUAUGUGAAUAUUGGGCAAUUCUGCAGAACAUGAUGGUGAAUGCCAGAGUCCAGAAUGUGUCCUCCCUCCAACCUGUCCUGAGGCAGGCGGAAGAGUAUCUGAACACGCUCAAACCUGAGACUCCGUUUCCCAAGUUCGAGCACAAGUUGCAGGAGAUCGGGCUGGAGCAGGGGUGGGGCGACACGGCUGAGUGGGUCCUUGACAUGAUUCAGGACCUGUUGGAUCUCCUUAUGGUCCCCAACCCAGGCGCUCUUGAGAAGUUCUUGGGAAGGAUUCCAAUGGUCUUCGAUGUUGUCAUUGUGUCUCCCCAUGGAUACUUUGCUCAGGACAAUGUCCUAGGUUAUCCAGAUACCGGUGGCCAGGUACUCAUUUUAUUUUAAGUUAGCAUCUCUUGAGCAGGAUAAUAUACGUGUCGUGUGGUCUUGCAUUUAGCGUAAUCAUUUUACGAUAAUUCUGUCUAUUUCUAGGUUAUUUACAUCCUGGAUCAAGUUCGUGCCCUAGAGACUGAAAUGCUUCACCGCAUUAAGCAGCAAGGCCUAGAUAUUACUCCUCGGAUCCUCAUUGUAAGUUUCACAAGUUUAUCAAUGAGACUUUAUGCAGUGAUCAGAUGAAUUAUCCUACUUUAAAUGCUUAUUGUGUGGUUUUCUUUCCUAGAUCACUAGGCUUCUCCCAGAUGCGGUUGGAACCACCUGUGGCCAGCGCCUUGAGAAAGUUUUCAGGACGAAGCACUCCCGCAUUCUUCGCAUCCCCUUCAGGGACAAGAAGGGAAUCGUCUCUGAGUGGAUUUCCCGGUUCAGGGUGUGGCCAUAUUUGGAAAGAUUCGCUGAGGUAUUCACAGACUCGAUUGCAUACUUCGGGUCAUUUUGCCCGAUGAAUUCAUUUAGUUUCUAGUUGAGACUAAUGGUUUUUGUUUGGCAACUCUGAUCAGGAUGUCGCAAAAGAACUCAGGGGAGAGUUGCAGCGCAAUCCCGAUCUGAUCAUUGGUAACUACAGUGAUGGAAACAUUGUUGCUUACUCGUUAGCCAAAAAAUUAGGUGUUACACAGGUUUGUUCUCUUUUACAUAAUCUCGUCACUCAUAGCACUGAUGCCGAAAUACUUGAAGCCUGAUAUAAUCUGAUCUUUUGCUUAUAUGUACAGUGCACAAUAGCACAUGCCCUUGAGAAGGGAAAGUACCCAGGGUCUGACAUAUACUGGAAGAAAUUUGACAACGAAUACCACUUAUCUUGCCAGUUCACCGCGGAUCUCUUGACCAUGAAUUACACCGACUUCAUCAUUGCCAGCACCUCCGAAGAAAUUGCUGGAAGGUGAUUCAACUCAAUUGUUCAUCUUGGAAUUCGAUUGUCUUGAUGCAUUCUAUCACGUGAAAAUUCCUCAAGAGUCCUAAUAUUUCCUUAUUUCUCAAUUCUUUCUUUCAGCAAGGAUACCGUGGGGCAGUAUGAGAGUUACACGAACUUCACUCUUCCUGGACUCUACCGAGUUGUCCACGGUAUCAACGUCUUUGACCCGAAAUUCAACAUUGUUUCACCAGGAGCUGACAUGAGCAUCUACUUCCCCUACACCGAACAGAAGCGGCGGUUGAAAUCUUUCCACCCUGAGAUCAAAGAGCUCCUCUUCAGCGAUGUCGAGAACAAGGAACACUUGUGAGUGUUUUGGUCCUUCCUUCGUGCCCAACUUGAAUCCUGUCCUGGCAUUUGUUGUGGCAUUCUUGGGAGUCGAAGUUUGUCUUUUGCUAAUUAACAUUGUUGAACAGGUGUGUGUUGAAAGAUAAGAACAAGCCGAUUAUUUUCACCAUGGCGAGGCUUGACCGUGUCAAGAACUUGACAGGGCUUGUCGAGUGGUAUGGCAAGAACCCCAAGUUGAGGGAAGUGGCCAACUUGGUCGUGGUCGGAGGUGACGGGAGGAAGGAUUCGAAGGACUUGGAAGAGCAGUCUGAGAUGAAGACAAUGUACGACCUCAUCGAGAAGUACAAGCUGAAUGGCCAGUUCAGGUGGAUUUCCUCCCAGACGAACCAGGUGAGGAACGGAGAGCUCUACCGCUACAUCUGUGACACGAAGGGAGUCUUCGUUCAACCGGCUAUCUAUGAAGCUUUCGGGUUGACUGUGGUCGAGGCCAUGACUUGUGGAUUGCCAACCUUUGCCACUUGCAAUGGUGGACCGGCUGAGAUCAUUGUGCAUGGUAAAUCAGGCUACCAUAUUGAUCCUUACCAUGGUGACCAGGCGGCCGAGCUUCUUGUAGAGUUCUUCGAGAAGUGCAAGGUUGACAAGAGCCACUGGGACAAGAUCUCAAAGGGUGCCAUGCAGAGAAUUGAAGAGAAGUAAGCAUAUAAAACCUGGUUUUCAGAUUAAAAUGAUGUUCGCAGUUUUUGGGGAUACAAUUUUUCUAAUGUAAUUUACUUUUUUUGGGGAUACAAUUUUUCUAAUGUAAUUUACUUUUUUUUCUUUUGACAAGGUAUACAUGGAAAAUAUACUCUGAGAGGCUGUUGAACCUGACUGCCGUGUAUGGCUUCUGGAAGCAUGUGACUAGCCUUGAUCGGUGCGAGAGCCGCCGCUACCUCGAAAUGUUCCAUGCCCUCGUGUAUCGCCCACUGGUAAGUUCCUGCUUGAACCUGAUCCGAUCCUGCAUUCUUCAUUCAAAUUAGUGCCUUGUUCCUUAGCAUACGUAGUAUGUUUCUCGCAAUCCACUCAUGCUAUGUUCUUGCUCUUUCUUGCAGGCUCAGUCUGUUCCCCCCGCUGUCGAGUAAAGAAAGAGACAGAUUGUUACCAGAAGAUGGAAGCAAUGGAUUUUUGAAGUUUUCAAGGAAUAAACAUUGGAAAUUGUUUGAAGGUGAUGCCAGAGCGAUCUCUUCAUUCCUUUUUGGUCUUUUCUCUCUUUGUUUCAUCCGAGAAUGUUUGCAUUUUGGGUUUUGUACCCAUCAAUUCAGUAAAUGGUUCAUUUUCUUUUCAACUUGUCAAUCCCACUCCGUAUUUCGUACUUCAUUGUUGUUCACCUGUGGCGGUCUAUGUCUAGCUUGUCUGGUGAUCUGUCAAUUGAAGAUAAUCACAUAUACCUAACAAACCAACUUGAUAUGAACACUAGCGACAUGCAAGCUGAUACCGAUCAGUUUAAUAACUUCAAACCAUCAAGCAACAAAAUAUGAGACAGCUUGAUUGUUUGAUAAAAAUGGCCCACAUUCUUGUCCUACCUCCAUGUGAUUUGAUCUCUAUUUCUUUACGAAAUGAGGUAGAAGACAGGCACAAAUAUCGGCAACUGAGCAAUCAAAAUGUGAGAUUAAGACAGCCUUGUGCUUUACCUGCUUUCUCAUGGCCCAGGACAGCAUAUGCUGAUGCUGAUACCUGCAUUAAAAGGCACAUCAGAACGAUCAUGGUUACUCUCCAAAGCUCCUCACCAUCUUUUUGCGAAACUCAGCAAUCCUCAUGUGCAAAAAAUGCUCAGAGACACAAUUCAAGCGAAUGGAUCAGGUCUUAAGUCUUUUGGCACACAACGGUCGCUAGUUCAAAACUCGCACAGUUGAGACAGAUCAAGUAUGCAGGUUUGGUUUAUGCAGUUUGAAUUCUGCCUGGAAACCAGCUGAGGAGUUUAAAAUCAAGAUCAUAGUUGGUACAGGCAUUUUUAACGUUUCAGACCAUUGACCUUACUCUGCCUGUCCUAAUCCAAACCUAGUCACUUGAUGGACAGGGACAAGCGGGGUUUCUUUUUAACCGAUUGUUUCCCCUGAUUCCAAUAGCGUUCUCAUGUAUAGAUGAAGACAGAAAAGGGGCCAAAUUGGCACCUAUAGAAGUGGGAAUGAACGGUGGUUGGAGCUUUGGGUAGAGCUCAUGGGAUGUAGGAAGAAGAAAAUUGUUGGUUGUGGAAAGAAAGAUGUCAAUAGACCUGAGCAUGCCCUUAAACUGUUUCUGUUAUCGGAGUCAACCCCAACAGUAAAAUGGGGUAAUGAUAACCGCGGGGGUCCGGACCACCCUUAAUUCAAGUCCCCCGGCCUUGAUUCCCGUGAAGCCAUUCUCCUAGCAUACUAGGCUGGGUUCAGGAAAAUGAUAGGCAGUUGGUCCGGUCCGAUCAACAGUAAUUCUGAUGUACUGUGUACCUUUCUCUACUGCUGCUUCAUGUCCUCUAUCCCCUUCUCAUCAUUCAUUUAAUUUGUGAGCCCACUUCAUGACAUUAUUUAAUUUUUCCAAGGUGUCUCCAGCCAUGUAAUCCUUCAUUUUUCCGACAUCUUCAGAAAAGUUGGACCUACCUUAUUGUCACGGGCCAAAAGUUUCCUUGACCUCGGAAUGACUCGCGAGCACCUGGCGAGCGGAAUUCACCGGGCUAGCCCUUUCUUUAACUGUUCCACGAACAAUACGGUGAAUGAUUCUUCGUACGAGAUCCUACCACACCCAGUUUCGCUCGAGCGUCUAGUCCAUCGAGUAAGACAGCAAUUCUCUUUAGGCACAACAAUUGGUUUCGGCCUGCCAUGACCUCGUCAAGAGAGCGGCAUCAGCUCCUGACCAGUUUGUGCACGGGAGGCCUACCCCGUCUUCAGAGCUUCUAAGUGAUAUAAUCCUUCUAUUCUAGAACUCCUAGCACCAAUCGUUCUGACGCCACUCCCACGGACCAGUUGUGUUUUAUCCUUCUGCCUCACACUCUUCACCAGGUAACCCCAAGCCUCACUCACAAUUGUUACGAGUACGGGAGGAUUCACGGACCGUGACAUUCUCCCCCACUUAAUUUGCAACGCCCUCGUUGCAAUCUGUCAUGUUGCUUCCUUACAUCCAUUAACCAUUGAUGUGCCACUUUUCACAUCGAACGGCCACGCUUGCCCAACAAAACAGGUUUUGCUCCAUCAGUAGCCUCUUUUGAUCUCAGCCGCUUGGCCAUUUGGUCACUUGCGCUUUCUGGCAAGUGUGGCAUUUUUCGUCAACCGCAUCUUUUGGCAGCACCAUUUUAGCCUAACCAGCAUCUUUACCCCAUCAAACUAAUUGAGGUUUUUUUCCUUGUUGAAAACAUAAUAGUAGACCUCUUCUUCGAAUUCAUCGAUCGAUCCAGGAACGUUAUCCCCAUUCAGUAAGGGUUCGGUUCUUCUCGAACUCCCUAUUGGCUUGGCGGUAAACUGACUCGUCCCAGUACCCAUUGUCAUCCUAGGAGCUGAGAGCCCUUACGUUUAGGCAUCUUUUGGCCCCGGUAGAUUCCUCUUCGCCCACUAGGACCCGUCCCACUAGGACUUAUCUGUUCAACCCGCACUAGAGCGAGAAGCUCGAUUCUCCGACUCGCUCACUCGCUUACCGAAGGGAUUCCUAUUUUGAUACCACUUGUCACGGGCCGAGAGUUUCCUUGGCCUCGGAACGACCCGCGAGCGCCUGAUGAGCGGAAUUCGCCAGGCCAACUCUUUCUUUAGCUGUUCCACGAACAAUACGGUGAAUGAUUCUCCAUACGAGAUCCUACCACGCCCAGCUUCGCUCGGGCGUCUAGUCCAUCAAGUAAGACAGUAGUUCUCUUUAGGCACAACAACUGGUUUCGGCCUGCCAUGGUCUCGUCAGAAGAGUGGCAUCAGCUCCCGACCAAUUUGUGCACGGGAGGCCUACCCCGUCUUCAGAGCUUCUAAGUGAUAUAAUCCUUCUAUCCUAGAACUCCUAGCACCAACUGUCCUGACGCCACUCCCAUGGACCAGUUGUGUUCUACCCUUCUACCUCACACUCUUCACCAGAUAACCCCAAGCCCCACUCACAAGUGUCACGAGUACGGGAGGAUUCACGGACUGUAACAUUAUGCUGUUACUAUAGCAGUGAGUUAUUAGAUUGAUUUGGACAUAUGAAAUUUCCAAUCUUUCAUGUGUUUCAUAUGCCACAGCCAUGCAUAUGCAACUGCAAUAUCUGAUGAUUGCCCUAGAUGCCAUUCAGUUUGAUUAAAUAUAAAAAAAAAAAAAAAGCAUAGCUUUCUUGAUAGUUUUUGCGAUGUAGCCAAUGCGAAUUUAUAGGGUCGUUAACUCCAUUGACAUAGCAUAUUCUCUUGUCAUGCCAUUGCUUUCUUAUGCCAAACACGGCAUAAGGGAAGCUAAAGAUAAUUGUCAAAGUGUAGUCUCUGUAACAAGGUUGUUUCAUAUAGCAUGGAAAGAGAUGGUAUGGCUUAGACAAGGCGUUUGCCUAUUCUGCAAAUAUCUGACAAUACAAAUGGUUUUGAAAUGUUUAUAAUGACUGUUCGGAAAAUAUUCCACCCCGGUUCAAAGUGCCAUAAGUUCAGAGCAAAUAUUAAUAAAACUCGCAAAUGCAACAAUUCCUUAUAGAACUGCAACGAGGCGCAAUUGCAGCACAACAAUAGCUAUACCGGCCGGCUGAAAAAAAGUGACCUUUCAAGUUCAGCCAUAACUACAUGGCCCUUAGGUAAGGAUCCAUGGACCACUCUUCAUAAAUGAAUUAUUUUGGGUGGGGGCCUAAAAUUAAAAAGAAAAGAAAAGAAAAGAAAAAAAGACAGCUUGAUCUCGAGAGGAAACCAAUUUGCGGUUUAAAUCUGCUUAUUACAUUCAGUGCGGUAAACUGUCAUCUAUCAUUAAUGUCUCAUCCGGUGGAUUAGACAAUGCCCAUCUUUUCUUUAUGAAAGACGGGAAGAAAGUUCAGCCAUUGAUGUUAUUGGAUGAAGAAACGACAGGGUUUUGGAAUUUUGAGUGCAGAGUGGAGUCACUUCUUAUUCUAAAAUGACAUUCCAAAUGACCCGUGAGAUUACCAUCUCCUAGCCAAAAGAGUAGCAGCCACCGCCGGCUAGAACUAAAACAAACUCAAAAGACAAGGUUCGGGUAGUAAAAACCGAAGUUCUAACGUGAUGUCUACCUCCAUCACCGUAAGGUCCCCCAAUUCCUUAUCUAUCUUUAUCUUUCUGAUAGAGAAAAAAUAUGGAGGUAACAUUACGGGAUCUCCACUCCAAAGCGAUUCUUUAGCCUAUUUCUUCCCUUUAAGCCUUUUAAGGACUUGCCCAGAUUUAAAGGCCUUUCCUUGGUAAAAUUGAAAAGGUGAGGACUCUUUGUGAAAAUCGUUUGAAAGUCUCAAAUCUUUUCAGGAGAUCAACCCCAUUUUGGUUAUGGAGGACGUUUGCCCAUUUAAAAAAUUGUUUCCUUUUCCAACAGUUUCAAUCUUUUGAAAACUUUCGCUUUGAAAAUGCUUAAGAACUGAUGAAACAUUGAAAAUCGCUAGAUUAUCAUAUUGGUUUCAUUUGUCUCGCUAAAAAUAGAUACCUCAAAAAAUAUAUUUUUUAAAAAAUUGAUGGCUUAUGUCGCUUAUAAAAAUGAACGAAUAAAAAGUAUUUUAAUUUUUCUGAAAAUAUUUUGACAUAAAUUGUUAUCGAUAAUAAAAAUAUUUUCUAUUGACUAACUUUUUCAAGUAAUAAAAAUGAUCAUUUUUAGGAAAAUAUUUUCUAAAUCAUUUUUUUUUUUUGCGAAAUAAAGGGAGCCAUGAUAUAGUUUUCAACUCCGUCAAUAUGAUAAAAAAAAAAAGUUAUGGCAUAUUUGUAUAUCUACUCACGUGAUACUUCGUGUGUAUAUAAUCCAUCCGUAUAAAAUAUCAUCAUUUACAUUUAGAAAGCUAUAUUCUUUGGAAGAAACUUGUAUAGUUUGGGAAGGAGUUUUGAUUGAUCAAAAAGAAGAAGCUACUUUAACCGAUAUAUCCUUAGCAAGGCCAUACAUAACAUUGAAAUCACAUUUGAAAUUAUUUGCCCUAUGGAUAUAAAUUACUGUAAUUCAUAAUAAUAAUUGAAAUAUUUUUCUGCAUUUUCAUGAAAAUCUUACUUAAUAUUCAAUAUCAACAAAAUGGAUUAGUGUGUUAUAUCAUUUUAUAUAUAAAAAGCAACUUGAUCAUAUUCGUAUCAAUUGACUUGCGGUGUAAAUGGGAUUUGAUACCCUAUUAGUUCUAGCCCGAUGGAUACUAGCACUAUGUGUAAUGAUUUGUGUAGUGCUGUAGCUAAAGCGUUAAGUAUUCCGCUUGAAGAGUACGUUUCGGAAUACCAAUAGGCAUAAAAUGAAAGAAUAAAAAAUUAAGUAUUAUAUUUCAUAUUGACGUGGAAGUGUAACAAUGCAUUUAUUUUCUUAAUAAUAGUAGUUUAUCAUAUUUUAUCCAUAGAUUGGGAAAAAAAUUCUUACGAAUAGGUCCUUUGAUUGAUUAGAAUAUAUGUAUGCAUUCGUUCAUUAAAAAUGGGAUCAAUCCCCAUUGCCGUAUUGGUACUUAUUGGAUAUAGAUAUGCACAAAACUUUGAUUGUUGGUUGGGCUGGUUCAAUGGCUAUAUUCAAUGGCUUUAUGUGAAUUACCAAUUUUUUUUUCCCUCUUAUCCCGUUCUUGAUCCAAGAGACAAGGUAAAUUGGUUACAUCCUUCAUAACUUGUUUAGGAAUAGCUAAUUCAUGGGACGACUAGAGUAUUACAAAAAGGUUUGUAAUGAAUCUGGUAUUUGGAGUUACGAAGGUGUGGCCAAUGCACAUAUUAUGUCUUUUGGCUUGUGCUUCUUAGUAGCUAUCUAGCAUUGGGUGUAUUAGGAUUUAGAUAUACAUUGUGAUGAGCGUAUAGGAAAACCUUAUUUGGAUUCGCCAAUUUUUUUUGAAAUUUAUGUAUUUCUUUUAAGGGUGGUGUGAAUUACUUUGGCAUAAAAUAAGUGAACAAUUAAUAAAUAAUAUUUAAAAAUUAUAGUGUUUCAUGAUACAUUGGUAAAUCUACUUUGAUACUCGAUUAAUUAAUGAUGUGGGACACCUAUGAAAAGCGCAAAAGGAGGAAAACGAAUGAUUGAGCUUGAUUUGAGGCCUAAUCACAAUACAUUCUCGAUAGCAACUAGGGCCCACAUAUUUCUGGCCCAGAGCUCUCUCUCUCUAUUGAAAACCUUUGGAAAAUCAUCUACUCGGAACACAUUUUCAUAAUUUAACGUUCUUAUAACUUAGGAAAUUCGGCGAACGAAAAAUUUUUCGUCAUUAAUAACAUUUUAAUUCUAAACAUUUUAUUUGUAGAAUUUCCCUUACCUUGUUUUCCCUAAAUGAUAUAAACGACUAGCAUUCAUAAUUUCUCAAAUUAUUGAUUUUUUCACAAAAACGAAGGGAGAAGUUUACAAAAUUGUAUGAUUGGUAGGCCAAUCCCGAGAUUCAUCUACUCAAUCACAUAAGUCCGUCCCAUCAAUCUUGGAUAAGUAUAAUUUACAUGGGUGCCCUGACUAAUGGACAGUGUACAUGCAUUUGCAGCCACAAAUUAAUUUGAUGAAUAUAAAACUAUAAAGUUGAUCUACUGAAUGUUAAGCUGCGGCGCGACACUUGGCGAGUACCUAAUGAGUCGGCAGGGCCCAAAAACAAAGUUAAUGUAUGUCCCUUAAUCACAUGGGUUUGUUCCCUCGAAUCGGCGUGAUUUCGCUGACAGACAAAACAUCAAUUAAUCAAUUAAUUAAUUAAUAUCAUAUUUUAAAAUAAACUUUGCUCUGACAUAUAUUGGGCACUAGCCAUAUGAUGUCUAGACAAAAGCUAUGAUGUUUGUUUUCCUUUUGGGAACAGUUAACAUCGUACCCCUUUCUUGAUUUCUUUUCUUUAAAUGAAUUUGCUAAGCAGAUAGAGUCAAUGCUCUGCAUUAAAGAGGGGGAUGUAGGUAGCGCAACAUGGGAUGCUGUGGUCUCGCACAUGUGCAUCGCUUUUGUGUCUUUAUUGAGCCGCUGCUUAUUGUCAUCUUUUGAGAUUGGCUUGGUCCACAUGAUUCACGCUUAUUAAUUUGAGCGAUGUAUCGACUGUUUUGAGCCCACAAAAGCACGGUUGAACCUAUUAAUUUUGUUUGGACGGUUUUACAAGAAAUAAGUGUUUCAAAGCACCGUUUUUUACGCAAUAAAUAAUUGGAAUACGUGCGUGCAUUAUGCACAUGCUGGCGAUGAUUACGCUUAUUUUUGUUAUGACGAUCGAACUCAUGGUUUCUUGAAAAUACUAAAAGAUCGAAAUCCUCAAAGUUUACCGUGCAACACGAACAAAAGAAAAAUUGAAGGGAUAGUGACAUAAAUGGUAUCUAAAUUUUGACCAAACGUGCAAUGUUAUUCCUAUAUUUUUAAUUUGUUUAAUGUUGUUUUUGGACUUUUGAUAUAUGUUGAAUGUUGUCCUUGAACUAUAUGAAAAUAUUUAAUGUUAACAUUCUAUUAAUUAAAAAUCAAUGAUGAUAUUGAAAAUUUACACAAAGUUGGGGGAUUAAAUUCAAUAAGUACUAAAAGUUCAGGAUUCACACUAAAUAUAUUAAAAAUUCAUAAAUUAUAUUACACAUUGAGCUAAAAUUAAAGAACCAAAUUGAAUAAAGUAAAAGUUCAAGCACAACAUUACAUAUUGUGUUAAAGUUCAUAAAUCAUUUACAUAUUUUUUUCCAAAAUUGAAUGAUAAGUCAGAUAAGUCGAAGGACGCAUAUACGUAUGGUCAAGUUCAAACAAUUUCAUGGAUUAUAUUCUCUUUUGCGUAUAAUUCUAAUGUAUGCAUCAUUCAUGUUUUUGUGGUCCCACUGCCUCUCCCACUAAAUUGUAUAACCUCCAGCAAUCAUCGUCUUCAACAUCAUCCUCGACUCCCUCCUAUAAAAGAGGAACCUUCUCUCCACUUUCUCAGCCCUCAAUCUCUCUCUCUCUAAAACAGCCAUGGGAAGAGGUGGCAACAAGCUUACCAAACUCAAGUCUGUCCUCAAGAAGCUCAACUCCUUUGGCCAACAUAACAAGCACCAGGCCAUCAACUCAACUCCCUCAUUCGCUUCGUCCACUUCAAACAAUUCCGACACCGACGACUCUUCCUCCUCCUCCUCCUCCGCCGACCUCCGCCCCGUCUACGUUGGCCAGUCCCGGCGGCGGUACCUCGUGAACUCUGCCGUCGUCCACCAUCCUCUGUUCCGUGAGCUCGCCGCACGUUCUGGUAACAGUGCGCCCUCGUCCGACGCCGACGACUCCUCGUCCCUCAACAUCGCGUGCGAGGUGGUCUUGUUCGAGCACUUGCUGUGGAUG